AUCCAGCUGACGAGUCCCAAAUAGGACGAAACGUGCAUCAAACUGGAU
rfam:Schistosoma margrebowiei strain Zambia genome assembly, scaffold: SMRZ_scaffold0000278